UACGUAGGGUGCGAGCGUUACUCGGAAUUACUGGGCGUAAAGCGUGCGCAGGCGGUUCGCCAAGUCAGGUGUGAAAUCCCCGGGCUUAACCUGGGAAUUGCGCUUGAAACUAGCGGGCUUGAGUGUGGCAGAGGGGGGUGGAAUUCCACGUGUAGCAGUGAAAUGCGUAGAGAUGUGGAGGAACACCGCUGGCGAAGGCAGCCCCCUGGGUCAACACUGACGCUCAUGCACGAAAGCGUGGGGAGCAAACAGG
rnacentral:rRNA from 1 species